rnacentral:rRNA from 1 species
AGGUCAGUAGGUUGGUCGUGCCACCGGUACGUACUGGUCCCACUGAUUCCUCCUUCCUGAAGAACCGUAAUGCCAUUAAUUUGGUGUUGCGGGGAAACAGGACUGUUACUUUGAAAAAAUUAGAGUGUUUAAAGCAAGCUAACGCUUGAAUACAUUAGCAUGGAAUAAUGAAAUAGGACGAUCGAUCCUAUUUUGUUGGUUUCUAGGAUUGACGUA